UACGAAGGGGGCUAGCGUUGCUCGGAUUGACUGGGCGUAAAGAGCGUGUAGGCGGCCAUACAGGUCAGCUGUGAAAACUCGAGGCUCAACCUCGAGACGUCGGUUGAAACCGUAUGGCUAGAGUCCGGAAGAGGAGAGUGGAAUUCCCGGUGUAGCGGUGAAAUGCGCAGAUAUCGGGAAGAACACCCGUGGCGAAGGCGGCUCUCUGGGACGGUACUGACGCUGAGACGCGAAAGCGUGGGGAGCGAACAGG
rnacentral:rRNA from 1 species